GUGAAUUAAACAUGCUUGGUGUCUUCGCUUCGGCAAGGCCCUUGCUUAAAUCACAUCCUAACACCUGUGAACUGUAAGACGUAUGAUGAGGUCUUUGGCCAAGUCAUCGUCUGCCCAUUUUUAACAAACAAUUAAUGUAACAAACGUAGUCCUAUUAUAACCUAAUA
rnacentral:misc_RNA from 1 species